CGCAACUUGCGCUCCUUGGUAUUCCGAGGAGCAUGCCUGUUUGAGUGUCAUGUUCAUUCUCAAACCAAAGCUUUGCUGAGGUUUGGAUCUGGAGUUUUUGCUGGCUGCUCUACAGUUGGCUGCUCUGAAAUGCAUUAGCUGGCUAGUAUAAGGCCUGUCAACGGUGUUGUAAUCUCAUACGCGCUGUUAUGGUUUUUGUUGGCUGCUGAUAAUCCGAUAUUUUUGUGCAUUUGACCUCAAAUCAGGUAGGACUACCCGCUGAACUUAA
rnacentral:misc_RNA from 1 species